UACAGAGGGUGCAAGCGUUAAUCGGAAUUACUGGGCGUAAAGCGUGCGUAGACGGUUACAUAAGUCGGGUGUGAAAGCCCCGGGCUCAACCUGGGAAUUGCAUUCGAGACUGCGUAGCUAGGGUGCGGAAGAGGGAAGCGGAAUUUCCGGUGUAGCGGUGAAAUGCGUAGAUAUGCGGAGGAACACCGAUGGCGAAGGCAAUCUCCUGGGCCUGCACUGACGCUCAUGCACGAAAGCGUGGGGAGCAAACAGG
rnacentral:rRNA from 1 species